UUUCAUUGUGAUGCCUUAUAUAUGCAUGGAUUAAUCUCUCAAACUGGAUUUCCACAGAGAUAACUUCAUCUUCAGUGAGUAAUAUUUGAUCACAGGCCAGCAGCUGUUGGACAGAAGGAAUUUCACAUCACCAUUUGGUAACCAGGAAAAUGUUCUGGAGAAGCCAUGUGAGGUAAGAAUGUACUGUACAUUUUCUUGACAUUGGGGUAAAGCAAAAUAAUAUUUU